CCUACGGGAGGCAGCAGUGGGGAAUAUUGGGCAAUGGGCGCAAGCCUGACCCAGCAACGCCGCGUGAAGGAAGAAGGCUUUCGGUUUGUAAACUUCUUUUAAGGGGGAAGAGGAGAAGACGGUACCCCUUGAAUAAGCCACGGAUAACUACGUGCCAGCAGCCGCGGUAAUACGUAGGUGGCACGCGUUCUCCGGUUGUACUGGGUGUAAAGGGCGUGCAGCCGGGAGCACAAGUCAGAUGUGAAAUCCCGUGUCUUAACCGCGGAACUGCAUUUGAAACUGUUUUUCUUGAGUACAGGAGAGGUCAUCGGAAUGCCUUGUGUAGCGGUGAAAUGCGUAGAUAUAAGGAAGAACACCAGUGGCGAAGGCGGAUGACUGGACGGUAACUGACGGUGAGGCGCGAAAGCGUGGGGAGCAAACAGGAUUAGAUACCCGUGUAGUC
rnacentral:rRNA from 1 species